GAUGAACGCUGGCGGCGUGCCUAAUACAUGCAAGUAGAACGCUGAAGCUUGGUGCUUGCACCGAGCGGAUGAGUUGCGAACGGGUGAGUAACGCGUAGGUAACCUGCCUCUUAGCGGGGGAUAACUAUUGGAAACGAUAGCUAAUACCGCAUAAAAGUCGAUAUCGCAUGAUGUUGAUUUGAAAGGUGCAAUUGCAUCACUAAGAGAUGGACCUGCGUUGUAUUAGCUAGUUGGUGAGGUAACGGCUCACCAAGGCGACGAUACAUAGCCGACCUGAGAGGGUGAUCGGCCACACUGGGACUGAGACACGGCCCAGACUCCUACGGGAGGCAGCAGUAGGGAAUCUUCGGCAAUGGGGGCAACCCUGACCGAGCAACGCCGCGUGAGUGAAGAAGGUUUUCGGAUCGUAAAGCUCUGUUGUAAGAGAAGAACGAGUGUGAGAGUGGAAAGUUCACACUGUGACGGAACUACCAGAAAGGACG
rnacentral:rRNA from 1 species